AACACCCUGUUGUGUAGGUGAUGUUGCACCUCCGUUUUGGGCCAACACAAAUAAAAAGGGUUUUCUAGUUAUCUUGAUAAUGCGAUAGGCCGGAGCCAAGGCAGCGUCAUGAUUCGGAAGGCCGUCCUGCUUAUGCAGGUUCAAAACUCCGCAGCACACGACACGGCGGGGUAUUU
rnacentral:other from 1 species